GGCUCAGAUUGAACGCUGGCGGCAGGCUUAACACAUGCAAGUCGAACGAUGAYUWUCYAGCUUGCUAGRRAUGAUUAGUGGCGGACGGGUGAGUAACAUUUAGGAAUCUGCCUAGUAGUGGGGGAUAGCUCGGGGAAACUCGAAUUAAUACCGCAUACGACCUACGGGUGAAAGGGGGCGCAAGCUCUUGCUAUUAGAUGAGCCUAAAUCAGAUUAGCUAGUUGGUGGGGUAAAGGCCCACCAAGGCGACGAUCUGUAACUGGUCUGAGAGGAUGAUCAGUCACACCGGAACUGAGACACGGUCCGGACUCCUACGGGAGGCAGCAGUGGGGAAUAUUGGACAAUGGGGGCAACCCUGAUCCAGCCAUGCCGCGUGUGUGAAGAAGGCCUUUUGGUUGUAAAGCACUUUAAGCAGGGAGGAGAGGCUAAUGGUUAAUACCCAUUAGAUUAGACGUAC
rnacentral:rRNA from 1 species